rnacentral:rRNA from 1 species
ACGCUCGACACCUACGGAGGCAGCAGUGAGGAAUAUUGGUCAAUGGGCGCUAGCCUGAACCAGCCAAGUAGCGUGAAGGAUGAGGGCUCUAUGGGUCGUAAACUUCUUUUAUAUAAGAAUAAAGUGCAGUAUGUAUACUGUUUUGUAUGUAUUAUAUGAAUAAGGAUCGGCUAACUCCGUGUCAGCAGCCGCGGUAAUCUGAGCGGGCUGGCAAGGC